rnacentral:rRNA from 1 species
CACGUAGGGUGCGAGCGUUGUCCGGAAUUAUUGGGCGUAAAGAGCUCGUAGGCGGUGCGUCGCGUCGGCCGUGAAAACUUGCAGCUUAACUGUGGGCGUGCGGUCGAUACGGGCAUCACUGGAGUUCGGCAGGGGAGACUGGAAUUCCUGGUGUAGCGGUGAAAUGCGCAGAUAUCAGGAGGAACACCGGUGGCGAAGGCGGGUCUCUGGGCAGUAACUGACGCUGAGGAGCGAAAGCGUGGGGAGCGAACAGG